rnacentral:rRNA from 1 species
AUUGAACGCUGGCGGCAGGCCUAACACAUGCAAGUCGAAUGGUAACAGGAAACAGCUUGCUGUUUCGCUGACGAGUGGCGGACGGGUGAGUAAUGUCUGGGAAACUGCCUGAUGGAGGGGGAUAACUACUGGAAACGGUAGCUAAUACCGCAUAACGUCGCAAGACCAAAGAGGGGGACCUUCGGGCCUCUUGCCAUCAGAUGUGCCCAGAUGGGAUUAGCUAGUAGGUGAGGUAACGGCUCACCUAGGCGACGAUCCCUAGCUGGUCUGAGAGGAUGACCAGCCACACUGGAACUGAGACACGGUCCAGACUCCUACGGGAGGCAGCAGUGGGGAAUAUUGCACAAUGGGCGCAGGCCUGAUGCAGCCAUGCCGCGUGUAUGAAGAAGGCCUUCGGGUUGUAAAGUACUUUCAGCGGGGAGGAAGGGAGUAAAGUUAAUACCUUUGCUCAUUGACGUUACCCGCAGAAGAAGCACCGGCUAACUCCGUG